GACGAACGCUGGCGGCGUGCUUAACACAUGCAAGUCGAACGGCAACGCCCUGCUUUUGUGCUGUGCUCGGGUGGCGAACGGGUGAGUAACACGUGUGUAACCUGCCCUUGACUUUCGGAUAGCUUCAGGAAACUGGAGCUAAUACCGUAUAGGAGCUCCUGCUGCAUUGUGGGGGUUGGAACGUUUCGGCGGUUGGGGAUGGACUCGCGGCUUAUCAGCUUGUUGGUGGGGUAGUGGCUUACCAAGGCUUUGACGGGUAGCCGGCCUGAGAGGGUGACCGGCCACAUUGGGACUGAGAGACGGCCCAGACUCCUACGGGAGGCAGCAGGGGGGAAUAUUGCACAAUGGGCGGAAGCCUGAGGAAGCAACGCCGCGUGCGGGAUGACGGCCUUCGGGUUGUAAACCGCUUUCGCCUGUGACGAAGCGUGAGUGACGGUAAUGGGUAAAGAAGCACCGGCUAACUACGUG
rnacentral:rRNA from 1 species